rnacentral:sRNA from 1 species
AAACACACACAUAUACAACAUAACCACCACUUCGGGUUCUAUACCACACCACCAUCCAAACCUAUCAUCAUCAUCAUGUCUCCCUGCGCCUGCAACUGCUGCUCCGGUGAAUGCAAGGGCUGCUCUUGCGAUAGCUGCAAGGUACGUACUACAAGACA